UUCCCACAUACACCUCCCUCUACUGCCAAUAGGUAAUCCAAAGCUAAUCUAUUCUGGUAGAUGGCUGUCCUCAUCCUAGUGUUAUGCUUCGCUAGAAGAUUGAGCGCUUGUGAUGUUUCAUUGGUAACUAUCUCAACUACUGCUUGCAAUCUUAUAAUACGAUUAAGCAUAUAUAUUGGGGUUCUGUAUCCAUAAGUACCAUCCUCUGCCCACG